rnacentral:rRNA from 1 species
GACGAACGCUGGCGGCGUGCCUAACACAUGCAAGUCGAACGGAGUGUUUAUUUAUAAACACUUAGUGGCGAAAGGGUGAGUAACGCGUAGACAACCUACCCUCUAGAUGGGGACAACACCGCGAAAGUGGAGCUAAUACCGAAUGUUGUAAUGUUAUUGCAUACUGAUAUUACUAAAGGUGGCAUCUAUAUAAAAGCUACCGCUAGAAGAUGGGUCUGCGUCUGAUUAGCUAGUUGGUGAGAUAACAGCUCACCAAGGCAAUGAUCAGUAGCCGGUCUGAGAGGAUGAACGGCCACACUGGGACUGAGACACGACCCAGACUCCUACGGGAGGCAGCAGUGGGGAAUCUUCCGCAAUGGACGAAAGUCUGACGGAGCAACGCCGCGUGAGUGAAGAAGGUUUUCGGAUCGUAAAGCUCUGUCUUCAAGGACGAAUGUAGAUAUUGUGAAUAAUGAUAUUUAAUGACGGUACUUGAGGAGGAAGCCACGGCUAACUACGUGCCAGCCGCCGCAGUAA